AACUAUUUAAACGGUAAUUUCUAAAGAUAGAAAGUGUUCGUUAUCAGCCGUACGCUAUAAACUUUCUAGUCGGCAAAAAUAAACGUGCAAAAUAUAAGGCAUAUUUUUGCACUUGCUUGAAAAAGGCGGAUCGGUUGAAUGAUGUUUUUUUGUCGUUUUACCAAGAAUUGGUCCCGAAGGCAAUUUAGUCAGUUUUGAAUUUUGCCAAACAAUUCAGAGCUAUAUGUGCAAACGUACGCAUUUCGUUCACGCAUAGCAAUGGAUAUUAAAAGAAACCGAUUUAAAGUAGAUACGGGCAAAAGAUGGGAAAGUUCUCAACAUAAAACGUUUGAAUGCCUUUCUACAGUCCCAAGGUGUUAUUGAUCAGACCAGUUCACAUUAUUAGCCUCCGCGCAAGAAAGCGCCCAUAUGAAAGCAUUGGAUACGUGUGACCGGUACUUUCAUUUUUUCUACAGAUACUGGAAGAUCAUCGAUAGGAUAUAUUUGAAAAUUUUGAUUCUAUUUAACCUGGUUUCGUUUAUAAGUAAUGAGCAAGAAACCAAUUUUUUUGUGGUUUUGAAACAGCAGGUGUUAUCACUUAAACUGAUACUAGGUAUGUGUGUUUCAACCGUGUCUUCAGUGGCAGUGAGGGCAAAAGCUUCGAAUACUUCGAAAAUUACAAAGGCUUUGACAAAAUAAAUAUACUCUCAUUCUUCGGUGGCGGAAAUCAAAACAACAUGACGACUCUGCUAGCAGAGAAGAAUAUAUAUAUUUUUUAUAAGAAUAUAUUUCUCGUUAUAUAUU